AUUAAAUCAGUCUUUAUCCGUUGGACCUAAAUGAACCCACAUAAGUGUCCUUACUCGGAUAACUGUGGAAAUUCUAGAGCUAAUACAUGCCACGAGUUCCCAAAGUGUUGCGAGAGCAAUGCGAGUAGGACGCAAUUAUUAGAUCCAAAUAUCGUACCCGGUUGCGCGUUUACGUGUGGCUUAUAUCGGUGCAUUAUUUUGGUGAAUCUGGAUAAACCACAUACAAAGCUGAGCGUUUAGGCCUUGUGCCGGCGCCAGACCUUUGAAGUGUCUGCCCUAUCAGCUAGAUUGUAGAUUAAAUGUCUACAAUGGCUAUAACGGGUAACGGGGAAUCAGGGUUCGAUUCCGGAGAGGGAGCCUGAGAAACGGCUACCACAUCUAAGGAAGGCAGCAGGCACGCAAAUUGCUCAAUCUCUGCUCAAGGAAGCAGUGACAAAAUAUCUUGAUGCGGGACUCUUCCGAGGCCUCGCAAUCAGGAUGCGUUUAUUUUAAAGCAGUAAGCUGAACGCAAUUGGAGGGCAAGUCUGGUGCCAGCAGCCGCGGUAAUUCCAGCUCCAAUAGCGUACGUUUAAGUUGCUGCGGUUAAAAAGCUCGUAGUUGGACUUUACAACUCGGGCAGCUUAGCACCUCUUUUGCAUACGAAGCGUUUGCAUUGUGGGCGUACGCAUCUACACGUAAUUGUAUAUGCCUUUAUUGGUGUGUAUGGUUGUCGUGCUGAGUUGAUGUUGUGCAAACACCUUUGCGAUUUGUUUCACGCAUUAGAGUUCAAUACUAGGCUGUGACCGAGUGUAUAUUGAGCUCGUCGGCCUUUUGCGCAUGUCGUUGGUUAUACUAAUCCCUAUGCUGGAACACGAAUUCGCAGUGCGUAUUGUGCACGACGGAAAGGAGUCUGCAUUCGGCAAAAUGACAUGAUGCUGCGGUGCCAUUAACUUGGUGGCCGUUUGUGUUAGAGUGUGGAGUCGCUAUGUAGACAUUGAUCGUGUAUGUGCGUGUCUGACGAUACGUUGUAUUAGUUCUAUGUCAUUUGUGAUUGGUAUAAUAUGCCAUCGUCUCAUGUGUAAUGUUAAUGGUCGAAGUCUCGAGAUCACUUUGAUAAAAUUAGAGUGCUCAAAGCGGGUUCUCAUUGCAAAAUUGCCUGAAUGGUAGUGCAUGGAAUGAUGAAAGAAGAUCUCGGCCUCGAAACCACGCACCGAGUGUGAUGGGUACGUUAGAGGCUCGAGAUAAUGAUUAAAGGGAACUGCCGGGGGCGUUUGUAUUACGGCGCUAGAGGUGAAAUUCUUGGACCGUCGUAAGACAACCUACUGCGAAAGCAUUCGCCAAGAAUGUUUUCAUUAAUCAAGAACGAAAGUUAGAGUUUAGAAGGAGAUCAGAUACCUCCCUAUUUCUAACCGUAAACAAUGCUAACCGGUUGUCCGUCGAAAGUCAAUUCUUUCGAGACUGGACGCGCGACCCCCGGGGAAACCAGAGUUUCUGAGUUCCGGGGGAAGUAUGGUUGCAAAGCUGAAACUUAAAGGAAUUGACGGAAGGGCACCACCAGGAGUGGAGCCUGCGGCUUAAUUUGACUCAACACGGGAAACCUCACCAGGCCCAGAAACAUUUAGGAUUGACAGAUUGAAAGCUCUUUCAUAAUUAUGAGGAUGGUGGUGCAUGGCCGUUCUUAGUUGGUGGAGCGAUCUGUCUGGUUAAUUCCGAUAACGAACGAGAUUCUCGUUUACUAAAUAGAAGGUAGACCGUAACCUGCGUGUUAGUGUUCGGCUCGUUGUGGUGAUCAUGUCAAUAGGGCAGCGUUCGCUUGGAUGGGAGGAAUGGCGUAAGCUGCUCCAAAGAUAAAAGUGAUUUUGGCUGUUAGGCGUGUAUUGUCCGAUGUAGUUCGACCUAUCGGCGGGUAGUCUACCUAUGUCUUCUUAGAAAGAUUAAAGGUGCUCUAAUCAGUUGACAGUAAGAGCAAUAACAGGUCUGUGAUGCCCUUAGAUGUUCUGGGCCGCACGCGCGCUACAAUGCUCGGUGCAACGCGAGUCCUUCUCUCCCAACAGAGUGGGUAAUCGGUAUCAAAUCCGAGCCUACUUGGGAUUGGGGCUUGCAAAUAUUUCCCAUGAACGAGGAAUUCCUAGUAAGCAUUGACUCAUUGAAGUCGUGCUGAUUAAGUCCCUGCCCUUUGUACACACCGCCCGUCGCUACUACCGAUUGAAUGAUUCAGUGAGAGCAUUGGACUGGCGCCCUAAUGGUUCGCCAUUAAAAGGGCUGACGGGAAGAUGUUCAAACUUGAUUAUUUAGA
rnacentral:rRNA from 1 species